GGAGUUACCUGCCUUGGUUCCUGUCUGGUCCUAAGUGCUCUGUGCACAGAAAUUUGAAAAAUACUGUACAAGGAGAUAAACAAAUUAGCACGUUAGGACCAAUUCUUACACAGAUUUAAUAUUUGUGGCAGUUGUGCAUUUCCCCUUUGCAGGAUGAUGAAAACCAGAGGAAUUUUGUGUUAACAAUUAACAAGAUGAAGAGAAUUCUGUGUUAGCUUGACAACAUUUUCUCUCCAUUUUCUCGGAGUUCAGUAUUUAUUUUCUUUCCAAUCCAACAGCUGUUGGAGUGGAGGGGCACACCUUGUCAAUUGCUGAACGACCUCCUUUGUAAAUUGAGUGAGAGUGUGCGAUUUGCCCUGGAGCAUCUUUUCAGGCAUUCUGAAUUCUGCCACUGCCAUGACAGGAGCCUUUGGACUCAAGCUGCCAUGGUCCUUGAAGUCAUCAGCAGGGUGGGACAGGGCACCAGAUGGGCAAGGAGGCUACAGCUCCUGCAGGACCCAGAAGAAAUGUCCAGAUCCAGAGGGUGAGGAAUUCAUCCACCAGCUUCUGUCAGGUUGUGACUGUGCAGUCUGUUUCUUCUGGAAGAGCCCCAAGUGACAGUGUUCAAGUGGAUCAGAUCUGCCCCUACAUAGGAUUGCUAUCAGCCAACGUGAAUGACAGACUAGGACCUCUGCCUGAGAAAUACGUUGAGAAGAACCAACUUCUCAAGUUUCCCAGACUAAUGAAAUAUCCUGAGGCAGCCACAUCUGCAAUCCUAUCUAAUUGUGGAAUUGAGGAUGGGAAUAACAGAACCAAAUUAACAAAGAGCCAUCAUUAGUAAAGCCACUGCUGGUCAACCAUAGUUGAUAUUGGUUUGUUUUUUAGGCAUAUGUUGGUGUUUCAGAAGCACUGUAUCUGUGAUUUCUUCUCUUGCUGGAGGUUCACUUUUAAAUUUACAAACAUGGAAACACUUCAUAAUACCAAAUGCAGUAAGGCAGAUGGUGACAAAGCCAAUUUAGUCACACGAGGAGAUGAUUAACAGAAAGCAAAACGGCACCCAGAAAAGUUGGAUUUCUAGGCAGAACCACUAUCUGGAUGCAGAGGAAACAAAGCAAAAGCUUUUAUCUAUAAAAGUGACAAUGGACAAUAAAGAUCAGAAGGUAAAGAUAAAUCUGUUUUAC
rnacentral:lncRNA from 1 species